UGGGGAAUAUUGGACAAUGGGCGCAAGCCUGAUCCAGCCAUGCCGCGUGAGUGAUGAAGGCCCUAGGGUUGUAAAGCUCUUUCACCGGUGAAGAUAAUGACGGUAACCGGAGAAGAAGCCCCGGCUAACUUCGUGCCAGCAGCCGCGGUAAUACGAAGGGGGCUAGCGUUGUUCGGAUUUACUGGGCGUAAAGCGCACGUAGGCGGACUUUUAAGUCAGGGGUGAAAUCCCGGGCCUCAACCCCGGAACUGCCUUUGAUACUGGAAGUCUUGAGUAUGGUAGAGGUGAGUGGAAUUCCGAGUGUAGAGGUGAAAUUCGUAGAUAUUCGGAGGAACACCAGUGGCGAAGGCGGCUCACUGGACCAUUACUGACGCUGGGGUGCGAAAGCGUGGGGAGCAAACAGG
rnacentral:rRNA from 1 species